rnacentral:rRNA from 1 species
CCUACGGGAGGCUGCAGUCGAGAAUCAUUCACAAUGGGGGAAACCCUGAUGGUGCGACGCCGCGUGGGGGAAUGAAGGUCUUCGGAUUGUAAACCCCUGUCAUGUGGGAGCAAAUUAAAAAGAUAGUACCACAAGAGGAAGAGACGGCUAACUCUGUGCCAGCAGCCGCGGUAAUCCAGAGGUCUCAAGCGUUGUUCGGAAUCACUGGGCGUAAAGCGUGCGUAGGCUGUUUCGUAAGUCGUGUGUGAAAGGCGCGGGCUCAACCCGCGGACGGCACAUGAUACUGCGAGACUAGAGUAAUGGAAGGGGAACCGGAAUUCUCGGUGUAGCAGUGAAAUGCGUAGAUAUCGAGAGGAACACUCGUGGCGAAGGCGGGUUCCUGGACAUUAACUGACGCUGAGGCACGAAGGCCAGGGGAGCGAAAGGGAUUAGAUACCCCAGUAGUC